GAGGAAGGGUUAAAACUUAAAACCCUAGUUGAGCCUGUCCUGCCUGGCAACCGGCAAGUUAGGGCAAACCCAAUAUGUCCUUCACCAGACCCCCUUUAAAAACAAUCCUUACGAGAUCAAUCCGACCUCAUUGUUGCGGCGAGGCCUCCCACCACCCCCGCCCCCUUCUCUGCAGCCAGAGGGUUCUGUUUUUGGGGGAAGGGAGCGAUUUUCUGGUAAUUCUUCGUUGCAUUGAAGCAAACACGAAAGGCAUGAUGAAAAUCUUGUGCUAACGCAGCACCAUCUCACGGUGCGAUGAGCGGCACUUUCCACACGAGAUUUCUGACCUUUUAAUAAAAUUUUCAUUUCCCCCCUUACAUCUGUUUGGUUGUUCGGAAAACAGAAAGAAACUGAAACAUAAUCAUGUCAAUGAGCUGGGCUUUCUGACUUCUUGAGGUGCUGAACCGGUGGGUUGAUUUUAGAUCUUUUACGUUUUUUUCAGUAAUAAACACUUUCUUUGGAUAAUUGACGGAAAAAGAAAAAAAAAAAUGAUAGUUGAAGCUAGGGGUGGAGAAGAAAAAAAAAAUUAAAUCGUAAAAUCCAAUUGAAA